AUCUUACUGAUCUUAUUUUAAUUUAAAGAAUAUUUUGAAAGAAACCACCAGGAUUUCCAAAGCCCAACUAUUCCCAGACAUCAGAGACCAUAGUCCGAAUACCUACUGAACACAGAAAGUUGGUUCGCUGUUCAUAAAGACUCUAAACAGGUUUCUCUCUGGCUCCACCCACUGAUGCUGAACUCAGCCAAUGAGAUGGUCUCUUUCUGCAGAACUCCAGCCAGCCUGAUGUUGAGGAGAAGGCUGUGCAGCAGAGAGGCUGCUUAGUCUUUUCAUUCUGCUGAACUUUGUUCAUCUGCUGUGUGACUUCAACACCUGAAACAUGUUCCUUUACCUGUUUGUACUUUUCUCUCACUGCAUAGCUUUGGGCUCCAUGAACAGCAUAAAGCAGGAACGUGCUGAAGAAGCUGUUGCAGAGGAAGGAAACAUCAACCUGACCUGUACAUAUGAUGGUCUUAUCAACAAUAUCCAGUGGUACCGACAAUACCAGAGAUCCAGACCAGAGUUCCUGCUCUCCAUCACAGAGGGAGGAUCAGUUCAUGAAGCUGUGUCGGGAUUCUCAGCUCACAUUGACAAAACAGAGAAACGUGUAGAUCUGGAGAUCUCCUCUGCUGCAGUGACAGACUCUGCUGUGUACUACUGUGCUCUGCAGCCCACAGUGACAGGAAACACCAAAACUCUGUACUAAAACCUUUGGAGCAAAGACAACAGAAUACUCCACAACAUCCACUAGAGGGAGACACACACCUUUGUUAGGAUACAGAAUCAUAACACAGCUGUGAUGAGCUUCAGGUGAAGUGAAUGUGAUGUGAGCCUCCUCCUCCUCCUGACUGCAGAAACCUGUCUGACUCCAGCUGUGAACAUCAGUCCACUCACAGCUAACUCCCAGUAAAUUGAUGUGGAUUUCAUCCUGACAUAUAUACCUGUAUACACUAGAUACGUAAUCGCAGUUACUUGAAUAAAUUGUGUGUAAUGAUACAUACUCAUAUAUCAGGGAUAGCUCAGUAGGUAGAGUGGUG